rnacentral:lncRNA from 1 species
ACAGGAUUGCACAGGUUACACGGUCUGUACACGAUCGAAACGGGCCACAUGGCACGGGAAAACGCCCUGAACGGGUGAGUAGCAUGCUGUUUAGGAGAUGAUCAUGUCGUACAUAGACCUUGUUUAAGGAUUCAAUUUUAAUUCAUGCAAAGUGCAUGCAAAAAAUUCCAAUAGUCAUUCUCAGUUGAAAUUACUUAUUUGCAUCUUGUCAUUAAAAUUAUUUUUAGCUUAUUUUAGACAUAUAUACAUGUUAUUAUUUUAUUUUUAUCAAUAUAGUACAAAAGCGUGUAAUCCGUGUAAUAGUGUGUACACGCCGUGUGUACAAUUUACACGCUACACGUACCCACACCAAUCGUGUAGCGUUUACCGUUUAGGUGAACAUUGGUUGCUAGUCAUCCUUGGACUGCUCCACGAUGGUGAAAAAAUAUCUUUUUUCUUUCUUUCUUUUUUACAAAAAGACACACUAGGUUAAGAUCUCUUUACUAGGGGAAAAGUACCGAGAUCUAUCGGUCCAUAUUUCAUAUCCGUUCAUAUGCGUGUACGUGCAUGCACAUAGAGAAAAAUAUAAAUUCUUUACUAAUAAUAAUAUGAAAAGGACUUCACGAUUAGAUUAGUGGCAGUAGAAUCUUAUUCUCCAUGGUGUUUACUCCACCCAUCAUACUCCCUUCGCUUCUUAUCCCCCCAAAAAAAACUCCCUUCCCUUCAUAUUAUGUUCACUUUGGUUUUUUCCUAAAUUAAACAUUUAUACAAUAUCAAAUUUGUUUCAAUGGAUUCACCAUAUACUGC